rnacentral:rRNA from 1 species
CGCCUGCCCUGUGACAAAUGUUUAACGGCCGCGGUAUUUUGACCGUGCAAAGGUAGCGCAAUCACUUGUCUUUUAAAUGAAGACCUGUAUGAAUGGCAUGACGAGGGCUUAACUGUCUCCUUUUUCCAGUCAAUGAAAUUGAUCUUCCCGUGCAGAAGCGGGAAUAUAACCAUAAGACGAGAAGACCCUAUGGAGCUUUAGACACAAGACAGUUCUUGUUAAGCACUUCAAAAAUAAAGAAAUAAACUAAAAGAACCCUGCCCUGCUGUCUUUGGUUGGGGCGACCACGGGGAGAUAAAUAACCCCCACGCGGACUGAGAAUACAAUUCUCACAACCAAGAGUUACAACUCUAAUCAACAGAAAUUCUGACCUUAAGAUCCGGCAGUGCCGAUCAACGGACCGAGUUACCCUAGGGAUAACAGCGCAAUCCCCUUUUAGAGUCCAUAUCGACAAGGGGGUUUACGACCUCGAUGUUGGAUCAGGACAUCCUAAUGGUGCAGCAGCUAUUAAGGGUUCGUUUGUUCAACGAUUAAAGUCCU